UACGUAGGGUGCGAGCGUUACUCGGAAUUACUGGGCGUAAAGCGUGCGCAGGCGGCGCCGCAAGUCAGGCGUGAAAUCCCCGAGCUUAACUUAGGAAUGGCGCUUGAAACUACGGUGCUGGAGUGUGGCAGAGGGAGGUGGAAUUCCACGUGUAGCGGUGAAAUGCGUAGAGAUGUGGAGGAACACCGAUGGCGAAGGCAGCCUCCUGGGCCAACACUGACGCUCAUGCACGAAAGCGUGGGGAGCAAACAGG
rnacentral:rRNA from 1 species